AACGAACGCUGGCGGCGUGCUUAACACAUGCAAGUCGAACGGAAAGGCCCUGCUUGCAGGGUACUCGAGUGGCGAACGGGUGGGUAACACGUGGGUGAUCUGCCCUGCACUUCGGGAUAAGCCUGGGAAACUGGGACUAUUACCGGAUAGGAGCCAUUUUUAGUGUGAUGGUUGGAAAGUUUUUUCGGGUUAGAGUGAGCUCGCGGCCUAUCAGCUUGUUGGUGGGGUAAUGGCCUACCAAGGCGGCGACGGGUAGCCGGACCGUGAGGGUGGACGGCCGCACGGGGACUGAGAGAAGGCCCAGACUCCGACGGGUGGACGAAGUGGGGAAGCUUGAUCAAGGGGCGCAAGCUGGAUGCAGAGACGCCGCGUGUGGGAGGACGGUCUUCGGGUGGGAAAAUCCUUGCGCUAGGGACGAAGCUUUUUGUGACGGUACCUAGAGAAGAAGCACCGGCUAACUACGUG
rnacentral:rRNA from 1 species